AAAAAAAUUAUUAUCGUCCUUCUCCAACCUUCAACUCUCUCUUCCAAUCUUUGCAUCAGAAAUUCCACACUUAAUUAAUUCAUCAAUUCAAGCAUCAAUUACAUUCAAGAUUACAACCUAUAUGAAAUUACGACUUUAAUUUGUUGAUCGAUUUCGUAGCUUCGUUUCAUCUCCACAAUUCUCUCCUCUUCGCUGCUCAUCAUCAGCUAUGGCGUUCACUUGGAAUCGUCUCCAUAGAUGUUUGGGUCCUAUGUCGUCGUUGAUGUUAAUUCGAAAUUGGAUUUACCCAAUUCUUUUUCUGGGUUCGAGGUUCCGAUUUAUGAACAAAUCCAGCCAAAUUGGGUUUCACGAAUUCAUUCAAACAAUCGCAAAUCCAAGAUUGUUGAAGUGGCCGGCGUGAAAAUUGAACAUCAAAGUAUUAUUUGAUUUAUUCUGCAAAUUUGGUUUGAAAUUGAGUCGAAAAUUAUCUAUGGCAGAUCCGUCCUUCAACAGCACUUUCCAGCCUAAUGUUAACAGAAAUGACGUGUUGUGACAUUGAUCAAAGUGGACUCCCUACCAGUUUCGAUUCUAAUUAGGGAAACUACCAGUUGGGAUCUUCAAGUGGAACAAAAAUUUACAGGAACUUGAAUAUUGCAGAAGUCGAGGAAUUUCAAAAAGGCGUAUGAAAAUAUUAAUACAUACAAAGUGUGGCAAAGUUGUGAAACAUAUAAUAAUUAUUUCUUAAUUACAGUGUAGGAGAAUUUAUUUCUGAAGUUACACAAUUUGAAAUACCACAACCAGAAAGCAAAAUGGAGAUAAUGAGCAAAAAUCGCAAAACCAUAGAAGAACGUCAACAACUUUAUUUGGAACAAGAAGAUAAGAGCAACUCCAAUGGUUGGAAAAUAGACCUGCUCACAAAUAAAAAGAAUAUAUGAGCAGGUAGCCCACCGUUGUUGCAAUAAUGACAUCAGCAGCUACUAAAACAUUGUAGCUAUUUUGGGCAGGUAGCUCAAAAAAUAAAAGGGGAAAUAUAUGAAUUAAAUAUUAUAGGAGUUACAAGAGAUUGUAGCCCACCAAUGUGAAAGUUUAUAGCUUAAAUUAAUUGCAGCUAGAAAUAUGAUGUGGCUAAUUUAGCUACAUCACCUUGUAGCCCACCAUUGGAGUUGCUCUAACCAGGAUAUACAAAUGACAUACACUUGCAAGGCACAAAUCGAAAUGCUUCAUGUGAGAGAUUUUGGAUGGAAAUAUGAGUCAUGUCGAGUUUGCAAGACAAAGCUUGAUGAAGACCAUAUGUGCAAAAAGUGUGGAGUCAUAGAUGAAUUCCCAACUCAAAGUUUUCAUCUUGGAUUUCUUGCGUCUCAUACAAGGAGGCAUGGUAACGAUGUCGUUCCCGGAGCGAUCGAAGAAAAGUAGAGACCAAAUGUAUUCGUACGAUUGUGAAGUGUAGUUCGAUCUUACAACUCCCAUAACAAUCGAGGUAACUAGCGGUUUCAUCUAGUUUAUAGGUUAAUCUUACAAGUAUUUUUGAUAGGAACAUUAGAGUAAAAUUGUGUGUGUUGUGAAACUAUGUGAAUUUUAAAUUUUUAGUAUCAUGCGAAUUAGGGUGGUUUAUAUUACGAAAUUUCUAUAAUUACGUUCGGUAACACACUACUACAAAAACACCUUUAUAAGUCGCCCUUUUAGUGUCGCCUCAAAUUAAUGUGUGACACCAAAAUAUUUAAAGUCCCAUUUUAUAAAACAGGCGACACAUAAAGUUGCUAGCAGAUAUUCCAAUGAGACUAGCGUGUCGCCUG